GUGCUUGCUCUGGCAGCACACACACUAAAAUCAGAAUGGCAGAGAAGGUUACAUGGCCCCUGAGCAGGAAGGAUACACAAAUUUGUGAAUCAUUCCAUAUUUUU
ensembl:snRNA U6 U6 spliceosomal RNA